rnacentral:rRNA from 1 species
UACGAACUGUGCAAACGUUAUUCGGAAUCACUGGGCUUACAGGGUGCGUAGGCGGCUUGUUAAGUAGGGUGUGAAAGCCCCCGGCUCAACCGGGGAAUUGCGCCCUAAACUGGCGAGCUGGAGUGAGAUAGGGGUGUGUGGAACUUCCGGUGGAGCGGUGAAAUGUGUUGAUAUCGGAAGGAACGCCGGUGGCGAAAGCGACACACUGGAUCUUGUCUGACGCUGAGGCACGAAAGCCAGGGGAGCGAACGGGG